AAAAGAGGAAAUCCCAAAAGUCGAGGACUAUACAUCCAAAGCACAUCGUCUAUUGUCAUAGAUAGGAAGAUCGAGAGCAACACAUUUGGCUCCACAACUAGCAACAAUGUUAGCUUGAAGCUGUUAAAGAUGUGUAGUGGUACACCACUAUGGUUGAAUGUUGAUAAUCUAAAGGAGACAACGGAGAAUCAUGAAGGCGGCAUAGAGAAG
rnacentral:misc_RNA from 1 species